rnacentral:rRNA from 3 species
AAGUACCCCGAGGAAAAGAAAUCAACCGAGAUUCCCCCAGUAGCGGCGAGCGAACGGGGAGCAGCCCAGAGUCUGAAUCAGCUUGUGUGUUAGUGGAACGGUCUGGAAAGUCCGACGGUACAGGGUGAUAGUCCCGUACACCAAAAUGCACAGGCUGUGAACUCGAAGAGUAGGGCGGGACACGUGGUAUCCUGUCUGAAUAUGGGGGGACCAUCCUCCAAGGCUAAAUACUCCUGACUGACCGAUAGUGAACCAGUACCGUGAGGGAAAGGCGAAAAGAACCCCGGCGAGGGGAGUGAAAAAGAACCU